rnacentral:rRNA from 1 species
AUUGAACGCUGGCGGCAGGCCUAACACAUGCAAGUCGAACGAGUGGCGGACGGGUGAGUAAUGUCUGGGAAACUGCCUGAGGGAGGGGGAUAACAACUGGAAACGGUAUCUAAUACCGCAUACCAUCGGAUGUGCACAGUUGGGAUUAGCUAGUUGGGGGGGUAACGGCUGACCAAGGCGACGAUCCCUAGCUGGUCUGAGAGACUGACCAGCCACACUGGGACGGAGACACGGCCCAAACUCCUACGGGAGGCAGCAGUAGGGAAUAUUGCACAAUGGGCGAAAGCCUGAUGCAGCCAUGCCGCGUGAGUGAAGAAGGCCUUCGGGUUGUAAAGUACUUUCGGCGGGGAGGCGUUACCCACAGAGAAAGCACCGGCUAACUCCGUGCCAGCAGCCGCGGUAAUAC